UUGCACCCUGACGAAAGGGGAGGGGGGACGAGGAAAGAUAAGUAAAACGAACUACAUCAAAAAUACCUAAAAUCUCAAGUGAUCUCAAAUCUGGCCAAAUGAUCCUUACCAUAGGUGCCAUUAUACAGGGCCCAGUACACAUAGCAGACGUGGAUUGUUGACUGAUCUGCGCCUGACCAAAAACGAGCGUAAAUGUCUUCAGAGCUGUAUGGGUGAAAUCGUUCCAUUUCCAGAUGGUGGAAUCGUGGGAGGUAAUUGAUUAUUUGGAAUAUAAUUUGAUAUCAUCGAAGAUUGAAGGCCUUGUGAAAGACCACCGCAAGGUGGUGGUGCAGGACAACAAGCACAUGGUGCACAGGGUCCGGAACAUUUAAGCAACUUGCGUUGUUGCUCGAGUUGUUGACGUUCUCGUUGAACAUUUGCUAGUUCUAUCUGCAUAUUUCGUACUUCACACUCCAUACUACCUAAUUGUUGAGCCUAUAGAUGAAUAAAAACUUAUUGUAAAAAUUAAAACAGAGGAUAAUAUCAGGAUGGAAAAUGAAAAAAAUAUUGAAUAUUAAACAAAAGUACCAAUUGUUUGGUAUUGUUCCCAUAAAUAGCAAAUUUAUUUUCUAAUUCAGCCGGGCAAACACCUCUUGGUGUCGGCUCAGGACAUGGUUUUGUACAAACUGUAGGACUACGGAAACACAUCUCUUCGAUUUGCGAUGAACUUCUACUCAAUAUACAAUUGCCUGUUCUCGAUGCACCACCUGCUAAUCUCGAUGAGCCUAAUACAUUAAAAAGGUAGGUGACUGAACGGGACUGUCGCAUGGGACACAAUAUUUGCACUGGCAACAACCGUGAUCUUGAAGCGAGGAAGUUACUUGGGAAUAUGCUGGCAAAGGUGAGACCACUGGCGGUGAACAAGAUGAUCUACGUUCUGGACAUGUGUAACAGCAAGUAGAACUUGCAAACCGCAUACCUUCCGUUGAAGACACUCCACAGCUGUAUCUUUCUCCAAUAGUGCUUCUUCCAAUUUGUAUCUAUAAAUUUAAUCGCGACAAAAAUAGGCGACGCUCGUUCCUUAUCAAUGACAUAUAUUCGAAUCACACGUUGCACGUUAUAAAUAGGAUGUAUUCAUUUUCAAUCAGGUUGUCAUAAAGUUGUAAAUGACUGUAUCGUGCUCGUCGAGCUUAAAAAUUACAUCUUGCGACAUUCGUUAGGCAAAAACAUUGAUAGCUCGUUGUCACGGUGAUUAAUUGACGUUUUUAUCAUUUCUUUGUUUAACAUUCGAUUGUUUCGAUGUAACUUAAUGUAUCUAUAUUUUGUAAAAUCAGUAAUACAAUUAAUCUUUACAAACAUACUUUCCA